AUUUGUAAACACUUUGCAAAUUUUGAGGUUGAGAUUGCAGAAAAAGAGGUUUUAAUGAAUCAUCGAAGAAAAUGAAGAGUAAAAAUAUGAGAUUACAUGUCAUUAUCCCAAAAAAGAGGAGAAUACAUGCUUACACCUUAGAAAACAUGGGCAACAAACUUUGGCUCCGAAAAUAUGAGGAUAUAAUUUGGUUAAGGCGCUACAAAGCUCGCCUAUUUUCUGCUUGUUUGUUGAAUAUAUGCUGCUUGGAUGUCCUUCACGUUACAUUCACAUCAUGUCGUCUGCUGCCUUGUUGAUGUUGCUGGAUAACACCUGAUGAAUUUAGACUGCUUUUAGGGUUUUGAAGAUUGAAGCUACAAGUCAAGAUAAAAGUUUAGAAGAAACACAAGCUCAUUAUUAUUUUGCUAGGGAUGUUAUGUAAAACACGAUAUCAUAGUCUCGCUCAGGAUGUUAUCUAAGUUUUUUUGUUAAGGUGUUGAGCAAAUAUUGAAACUAUAUAACAUCAUGCGAUGUUAACACUC